rnacentral:sRNA from 1 species
UGCUUGGGCGAGAGUAGUA